GACGAACGCUGGCGGCGUGCUUAACACAUGCAAGUCGAACGGAAAGGCCCUGCUUUCGUGGGGUGCUAGAGUCGCGAAGGUGUGUAAUACAUGGGAGUCACCUGCCCUUGACUUUGGGACAACUUGAAGAAAGUGCGGCUAAUACAGGAUACGAGCUCCUGAUGGUUGGGGGGGGUCGGAAAGUUUCGGCGGUUGUGGAUGGACGCUGGGUUAAUGAGCUUGUUGGUGGAGGAGCGGCCAACCCAGCGUUUGACGGAUAGCCGGCGUGAGAGGGUGAACGGCCACCAGGGGACUGAGAUACGGCCCAGACUCCUACGGGGGACAGAAGGGGAAAAUAUUACACAGUGGGCGGGAGUCUGAUGCAGCAGCCCCGCGUGCGGGAAGCCGGCCAAGGUGGUGUAAACCGCUGUCGCUUGUGACGAAGCUUGUGUGACGUUAAUGAGUGAAGAAGCACCGGCUAACUACGUG
rnacentral:rRNA from 1 species